rnacentral:lncRNA from 1 species
GAAAUGUGAGUUGAAAUGCCAUGCAUGAAUUAAUAUAUGAUGCAUAUGUAUGAAUUGGUGCGGUGACGCACAGGUAAGAAUUGAUUUAUGAUGCAAUGUAUGAAAUGGUGCGGUGGACGCACAGAUGAGUAUUUAAUUACUGUUAUGAUGAUGAUGAUAUAUAUUGAGCUCAAAUCCUGCACCAUGGUUAGUGCUUAUAGUAUUCACCGCUCGCACGCUCGCCUUGGAUCCAAGUAGAUGCUAGUCGUACAGUCCACGCGGAGUGGGUACGACAGACCAGUCGCGAGAGUGUUAGUGAGAUUCCGCUGGUGGGUGACCUUAGAUUAUGUGCACAGAUGAUUUAUGAGAAGCACUAGAGCGUAACUUGUGUGCAGAAGGCGGACGGGUCACAGGUGACUCCGGUAGAGUGAUAAUGAUAGAUUUUGAGCUCUAGGUUCAACCGUAUAGGGCUAUUAGAGGGCUACGGUUGAUUACUUUUCUUGCACCUGAUAUGAUUAUGUUGAUGCAUUCAUACCUUAUUACUGUUGAGAUGAUGUGGCAUGGCAUAAUUAAUAUGAGAAAUGUUGAGAUGAUGUGGCAUGGCAUAAUUAAUAUGAGAAAUGUUGAGAUGACAUGGCAUGGCAUGAUUGAUAAAGAGAUAAUGUUGAGAUAGUAAAAAUGAAGUUUUUGAGAAUAUAUAUGUAUAUUUAUAUUUUUACAUUCUGGGAAAGUAUACAGGUUUUACGGAGAGGGGUUACAACGUUUUGAGAAAUGUUUGGAUUGGAAAGAAUUGUUUUAACUGACCCACUCAAUUUGGUUUUGCGCCCCUCCAGGUUCAGGAAUCACAAAGGUGUGGUGACUACGAGGAUUCGACGGUGUUCUGACAGAUUGGACAAAAUUAGGACCACCUUCGGGUGUAUCAAUUUAAAUUGUAUCUUAAAGCUUCCGUACUGUGCAAAUGGUUACGUCACUCUCACGUGACGGCCAGCAUGCCUCCUUCGGGACGGGUGUGUCAGUUGGUAUCAGAGCAUGGUUGCAAUCUUGGACAUUUUGAGAAGUUCUAGUGAAUUCUGUCAGAACUACACCGCCUCGUAGCAAGCCACUUAGUUAGAGGAAUUUAGUCUCCCUAAAUAUAACGGUUUAGGGGAAACUAUUAUUAUGGUGAUUCAGUCUAUUAUAAAAAGGACAUUUUAGAUGGGUUAUGAGUUGAAUUUGAAUCACUUAAGAGAAAUGAUGAAGCUGAGGGAGCGAAGUAACGGUUUAACCAUUUGGAAAAGAUGUUCGGAUUAUGCAAGUCAAAGGAAUCUUCCUUCUGACAAGGGGUCGAGAUGACUACCUGGUUUGAGUUAUGAACGUGUAUCCUGAUGGAAGCAGGAGUAUUAAUUGUUGUCACCGGAGGAACAGCCGAUUUAAAAUUGUUUAAGGACUUGUUUAAGGAAAAGUUUAUCCUCCGGCAUUUAUCGAUGGUAGUAAACAAGAGUUUACAAAUAUGAGACAAGGAAGGUGAUGAUCGAGGGAUAUUAUAGAAAGUUUUCAGACUUGCCUUUUCCAUCCAGAUAUUGUUGUUAUUGGUGGAGGUGUUAUGUUGUUUUAAGCUGGGUGGCAAAAAGGGAAGUGGUAUUUUGGGUGACCACUAUCCAUUAUACUUCUUACCAGGAAUAUACGAGAUGCUGUUGAGUCUUGAGGACUCUGAGAACAUGAUCAACGAGAAAAGAAGAAUAAGAAAUGAAUGGGACUUAAAAGAAGACGAUAAAGUUAAUGAUUCGUCAUAUCAAGGAGAUAGAAAGAUUCAGAGCUUCGAAAGAAGUGAAGCUAGAGUUAAUUCUUCCAGCUGAGGUUUUAAUGUCGCUGGUCAGAGUAAAAGUGAUGGAUAUACUGGUAAUCCCAGAUAUUUGAGACAAGGUGUCUCGAGUAAAGGAAAUGUACUUUGUGCAGCAGGUACAAAAUUAACACUUUGGGAAGUGUGAAAUUAAUGAAUGUGUUUAUGUGAACAGAGGGGACACAGAAUUGUGAAUCGUCCCUAGAAUCAGUUGUACCCACAGUUUUUCUAUGACAUCAUAGUGUUGAUUCAGUAGAGUUAUGGAUUUAGUAGUUUGGUCGGAUUGACCGUGAGUACAGAGAGAUUUGAUGAGUUAUAUGUUCAGCCCGUACAGACCAUGAGAAGUGGAUUCGAUUGACACAUGAGAAAUUGGUGAGUUAUAGGCUCGGCCGUACGACCACGGGAGUGGAUCCGGCCGACGUAUUAUUGAGAUAAGAGUUGAAUCAGCCGUAUUGGUCAUUCUAGUUGACUUCGGCUGAUAUAUUUCUUAUUAUGUAUGUUAUUACCUAGAGAGUAGUAAAUAAAUGUAGUUGAGACGAGGUAUGUAUUUUGCAUUGAGAACAAAAUAGUAAUGUUAUAUUUUUGAGAGUGGUUGCCUACUUAUCGAGACAACGAUGAUUUAUCAGUAUUGCGGGCUGCAGACCGUAAUAUUAAUAACUCAUUCGUGGAUUCGUUAAGCAAGCAAACCGGUAGAUUAUUUUAUGUUAGUAUUGUACUUAUUCAGAAUGCUUAGUAGUAAUAGAGUAUGUAUUGUGUCGGUUAAAUUAUUUCCAUUAGAUUGGUUGGUUAUAAUUGUGACAAGACGGAAUGUUAAGGGAAACCAGUACUUUCCAUCGAUCUGGAUGACCAGAGAUUACUUUUGUAAGUAUGCAAAGUGGAUUGAGUCAGGCCGUUAUUUAUGCUGUGAGAGCAAAGAGAUUGUUUCGAAAGGCUGUAAAAAAUAUUAGCUCGUGUGGUGCUAAAUGAUGUUGUUUGGAGUAGUGUGAAUAAUGUCAAAAAGGGGUUAGACUUUUCUUGAUGUCUUCCCUGAAAGUAUACCUGGAUUGCCUUCAGGCAGAGAUAUGAGGUUCACUAUUGAUUUGUUGCCAGGUAUAAAUCUAUGUUAAAGAUUGGUUCAGGAUGAGUUAAGGGAAUUGGAAAUUCAGUUGAAAAGAAUUGGUUGAUAAAAGUUCAUUCAACCUAGUACAACAUUUUUGAGGAGCCCCAGUUUGUUGGUGAGGAAGAAAAUGGACUUAGAGAUUGUUCAUUGAUUAUAGACAAUGGAGUCGGGUAACGAUUAAGAACCGUUAUCCAUGGUAAUGUACUGAUGUUUAUUUAACCAGCUCAGAAGUAAUUGCGAAGAUUCAAAGAUUGAAUUGAGAUCUGGUUACUACCAAUUGAAUAUUAUAAGUGACGUUGAUCAUAAGAUGGUUUUCUGGACUUGUUAUGGUCCUUAUGAAGUUUGGUGAUGCAUGUGGAUACUCAUGCUGUUUUAUGAGUUGAUGGAUGAAGUAUCCAAUAAUGCCUUGAUAGAUUGAUAUCAUUUUUAUUGAAGAUAUUCUGGCAUAUUCUGAGCCAGAGCAGAGCAUGUAAACGUAUUAAGUCGGUUGAACCAAAGAUUGAGAGAACGUUGGUUGUAUGCUAAGUAGCAAUGCUAAAGUUAGACGAAUCAGGUGGCAUUCUGAGAUUUGUUAUAUAUUCUUAAGGUAUUCAAGUGAAUCCUUAAAAGAUAGCAGAAAUUGAGAAAUUGGAACAACCACGAGCUGUAAUUGAGAUUCAGAAUUUCUUAGCUUACCAGGCUAUCUUGGAUGGUUGUGAAAGAUUUUUCAGUCAUUGCUUUGUCAUUGACGAGACUGUUGAGAAAAGAGGUUAUGUAUGAGUGGAAGGAAAUUGUGAGCAAAGGAUUCAACAACUGAAGUAUUUCCUCACUCAUGCACGUAUUUUGGUAUUCCCAGAGAAUAGUGGUAAUCAUAAAUUUUUAGUGAUGUUUCUUGAAUGGUAUUGGAAUGCAUGUUGAUGCAAAUGUUAGGGUGAUUGCAUACGUUUCACGAUAAAUGGAAUCUCAUAAGAUGAAUUACCCUACGGGUGACUUAGAAAUCAUGAUUACCAUUCUUGCUGUGAAGUUAUGAAGGCAUUAUAUUUGGUAAGAAUGCAAGAUUUUUACGAAUCCAAAAAGUCUUCAAUAUCCAUUACUUGGAAGGAUUUUGAUAUGAGGCAGCGAAAGUGAAUUGUAUUGCUUAAUGAACAUGAUUGUACGAUCAGGGUGAUCGUAAAGUUUGUUCUAACUGAAGCACUUGGUGAGAAGACUACAGUAAGAUUAAUGUCUGGCACGUUUGCCAAGAGUAUCAUCUUGUGGAUUGAAAACCAACGGAAGAAAAAUUAAGAAUGGAAGAUCGAGAAGAAGUUAUACUUGUUAAAUUUCAAGUUAGGCCUGUUUGGUAAGGUCGUACUUGAAACUUAAAUGCUUGACGAAAUUUAAGAAUUAACCAAGGUAGAGAAAGAAGGUAAGUUAAAUCCUAAGUUAAUCGGACUUAAGUGAUUAUCGAAAAGUUGGUGAAGUUGCUUACAAGCUUGUGAUGCCCUCAGAAUUGGUUAAGGUGCAAAACAUAUUUUAUGAUUCGAUGCGUUGUCACUAGGUGGCAGAUUCGUCACAUGAGAUUCUGGUGUAACUAUUGAGAAUUAAAUUGGAUUCGACUUGAUAAGGAAUCAAGGACGACUUUGGAUUGGAAAAAGAAGGUCCUGAGAAUUAAGACAGAGUUAAGUAAUAAAAGCUUUGUUGAAGGAAAUCAUUCAGUAGAAAAGUAUGUGGGAGAAAGAGAAUCGGAUGAGAAAGAUUUACCCGAAGCUAUUGUUGGAGUAUGGUUGAUUUAGUUGGUUGCUAGAAUUUCGGGGACGAAAUUCUAUAAGGAGGGAAAAUUGUCACAGCCCGUCCCGGAAUUUUAAUUCCGAGGACAUGAAAAGACGAAAAUGCCCUUAAACGGGACUAAGGGGCGAAAAUUUAACAAUUUGGAUUGAGUUGGACACGUGGGAUCCCACCACCCUCAAUCCUCUCCCUAUUUUCUGCAUACUGUCUCUCUCUCUCCUCCCUCACGAAUCUCUCUCUCUCUGUCACUCUUCUUCUCCGUUCGAACAAACCAACCACAAAACAACCUUAAACUUCCACCAACGACGGAGUUAAGACCACCAUCGAACUCCUGGAGACUCCACGAUCACGUAGACACCAAUUUCAGGUAAGUUUUACUUCGGAAAACCUAGAUUCUAAACUCCCCGUGAAAGUGCACUGUUCAUGAUCUUCGAAUUGACUUUGUUUUAGGACAAUCCAAGCUCACAGUGAGCUUAGUGAGGUUCCAAGGAAGCUCGGAGUGCUUCGUUGGAAGUUUUUGGACGUAAGAACACGGAGAUCGAUAAGUUCAAAGUUUGGCCGGAGCUUUCGAGGCAUUUUCCGGCGAAUCCCCGGCGAGUUAGGCGUCGAGGUAGGUAUCAAUCUCUUCGUCUCGUCAAGUACUACAACUUUCCUUUUUGUUUCACUCAAUUUCGUUGAGUAUUGAAGAAGUUAUACUCAUUUGAAAAAUACCCAGUUUCCGGCGACCUCCAAGGCUUUCGAGGCAGUUUCCGGCCAAACUACGGCGAACUAGGUGUUGGAAAGGUACCAUUCUCUUUGUCUCUUCAAGGGCUACAACUUUCGUUUUUGAAUCACUUGAUUUCGUUGAGAAAUGACAAAGUUAUGGCAAUUUGAAAAACUGCCCAGAAAACGGCCGCCGGAAAAACCAGUCCGGCGACCCAAGGAAGAAGAAGGUGCUACAGUAAAAAUAAAAAAUAAAAAUAAAAUUAUUUUAAAAAUAUGUCGACGUCCGUGACGUCGAGUAGAUCACUGUGGUAUAUUCAUAUACCUAAAUUGAACACCGUAUGAGAAAGUUAUUGAAGAUUGUUGGUUAGGUGUUCAAAUAACGUUUUAUAGUUUUCACAUUUAGGUGAAAAUGUGAAUUGAUGAUCCGACCGUUGGAUCGUCACCAAACUUUGAUACGUUGUAAUACGUAAUAUUUGAGGAUUAUUGGAACUUACGGAUUGGGAAUCCGAGUUACGGAUCUUUCCGGAAUUGGAAUUGUAAGUCCAUAAUAUAAAAUGUUAACCGUCACUUAGUUUUGGAAAUUGACGGAGAUCCGACCGUUGGAUGGUAAUGAAAUUUUAGGAUGUUGUCCUAGAGGUAUAAUGUGGACCUCUGGAAGUUAUGGAUUUAAAAAUCUGAGGGGUGGAUCUUCCGGAUCAAUCUACGUAGUGACGUAUUUUAUAUAAGUUAUAUAUUCUAUCGAUAUGAAUUCUGAGGUUGGAAUUGAUUAUUGUUUUAGGCGCCGAUCGUCAUGACGCCUUGGCGUAUUGUGCUAGGGAGUUGUAGGGCGAACUCCAGGUGAGUGGGCAGUUUUGUUUUCCGUAUAUAUAUAUAUACUUAACGUUUUCCCAGAAAUUGAAAAAUGCAUGAAAUUAUGUUUUAAAAUGAAAUGCAUAUGAGUUAUGUGGAAAAACGGGAAGUGAAAUACCAUGCAUAGAAUUGAUAUGAAAAGUAUAUAGAAAUGUGAGUUGAAAUGCCAUGCAUGAAUUAAUAUAUGAUGCAUAUGUAUGAAUUGGUGCGGUGGACGCACAGGUAAGAAUUGAUUUAUGAUGCAUAUGUAUGAAAUGGUGCGGUGGACGCACAGAUGAGUAUUUAAUUACUGUUAUGAUGAUGAUGAUAUAUAUUGAGCUCAAAUCCUGCACCAUGGUUUAGUGCUUAUAGUAUUCACCGCAUCGCACGCUCGCCUUGGAUCCAAGUAGAUGCUAGUCGUACAGUCCACGCGGAGUGGGUACGACAGACCAGUCGCGAGAGUGUUAGUGAGAUUCCGACUGGUGGGUGACCUUAGAUUAUGUGCACAGAUGAUUUAUGAGAAGCACUAGAGCGUAACUUGUGUGCAGAAGGCCGGACGGGUCACAGAGGUGACUCCGGUAGAGUGAUAAUGAUAGAUUUUGAGCUCUAGG